ACAAGUAGUCAAUAUUAAUUACGAUUAAUAACAACUACAUAUUGGCCCUUAGUGUAGGACUGAUGCCUCUGGGAAUUUUAACAAAAUAUAAUUAACAUAAUUCUACAGAGAGUAAAAAGCAAUGGUAUGGCCCAGAGCAAAGCCAUCAUUUGCCUCAAUUUUACUAAGAUAUUUUAAAAUUCUUCAAGCUAAAUGUAUGGUUAAGUCAAAGCGGCAACUUGUAUUUGAGGUCAAAAAUGGUUACCAUUGGUAUAUAUAUAGUGGUAUUGGAAGAUCUAUAUGCAUUAAUGUGAAAUUAUCAAAUCAGGACUUUUAAUCUUAAAUGGGUAUCCUAAUUUAGAAGGCAUAAUGCAAAAUGCACAUACUAGAAAUUGAAACAGGACAGUUUAAACUGAUAAUAUCAUCCUUCCAAUGAAACAAGUGAAACAGGUAUUGAUUGACGACAUAUUCCUGACCUUCACAGACACUUUACGGACGCUGAUAGGCACUCUAAGUUGAACAACUACAAUUACAAUAGAUGUGAACUGUAAUUAAUAGAGAACAACGUAUUGAGUACUUUGUUUCAUCAUCCAAUCCUCGUGAAAAUGAAACUUUCAAAUAAUUGAUACUGAAUAUGUUCCAAUCGUAUGUAACGAUUACAAAACUCAAGUCCUUUAUAAAACUGUGAAACUUAUUAAUAAUACCCAUAAGCAUCCAGUAGAGCCACAGGCUGGAGAAUCCACUCCUUCCACUCACCAGAUUCCAUUCCACAAAACCAACAACAUGAAAGUGGGUUUCAUGGAUGGGCCAAAGAACAUAAAUAUCAGUUCAUGUCCAUUACCCCUUCUCCAAAACUUUUGCAGUCAAAUAUAUUUGGAAAUCAAAAUGUUUCAGAUCUGAGAAAGGUAAUAUGAUGCAUACUCCACAGAGAGUCUAAGGCAGCAGAGAUAUUCAAAGUUAUUUAAUAUUUUGCAGUGAAAUGUGAAUAUUCAUGGUUAGUGGGAUAAAAUUUAUAAAUAGUUUCAUAUUAGUUUGGGUCAAAUUUGCCACCAGAACUGAACUAGAAAAUCGUGGAAAAAAUUUGGUGUUUAGAAGUUUAUGGAUUUCACAAUUGCACGUAUGACCAAAACUAACACGGAUUAACUAAACCAAUCACUGAGGAGGAAGCAAAAAAUACCAUUUCUGAGACGUGAGCCCAACAUAUCCUAUCUUUGGAAGACAUUGAUUAUAUUUACUAUGACUUCUUUACUCAAUGAGUAAAGGUAAAAACAGAUGAAAAUUUUAAGAAAGGAUGCAUAUUUUAAAUAAACUAAGGACAUUGCUACUUAAAGUAUACACAUAGUAAAUACUUUUUAAUUUGAAUAAUCUCUCCAUAAUUUAUCUGUCCCUCACGUUUGCACUGUUAAAUAUGAUCACUCUUUAAAUUUUGUAAAUUCCCAAAUGCAGUUCCCCAGUCCCCUUCCUAAGGUCAUCUAAUGACGUGUCUCUCAUGACAUCAUAAUCAGCUGAUAUAAUAAUUCCAGGGGUCCAUCAGGACUUUGUGACGCAGUGUUUUUAGGAACAUCUUGCUGGCACCUGAAGUACACUGCCUUAUCAAUUUUUCAGUGGUUAAGAAGAAACCUGGAAUGGAAGAGGAAAAAGAGAGUGCUGAAAUCAAGUUUCACCUACUUUACAAUUCUGCUUGGGGUCAGUCUAACUUUAUUAGAUGUUUUGCAAAGGACUGCUGUUAAGAAAAAAGGAGAAGAAGAAAAAAUAAGUCUGUCUGAUGUACUUUUAGUAAAAGCACAAACCCGGUAAUUGUGAGAGCCCUGUUGUUUAUAAGGAGUCAGUGAAUGAAGUAUGGAGAGUGAAAAUGCAGCAUUCCAAAUGUGGGUCUCUUAACACUUUGCACUGAAGUGACCAGCAGAGUCAAUCUUUUACUAUUGUAACUGAAGUCAAGCAAAGGGAUAAACACAAAAUAGCCCUUGAAUUAAAUCAGUUCUGCCUUACGUUUUCUAUGAUUUAUAUGAGUGUGUCACAGAUGAAACGUAACAAGGUGAUUGGUUAAACAGAUGGAUUGAUAGACAAUACUUUUGAAGAAUGAAGGCAGAGGACUGGACUACAAACAAGAAGUUGCAUUAAAGUAUCGUUAAUGUUCAAGACUCUCACACUCAGCAGUUAGCUCCCAGCAUCCCUUUCUGGGAAGAAUCCCUCACUGGUGUGGUGCCAUAGCACUUAGAUGACAAAGCAUAAGGAAGCAGGCAUCAGUGACCAAUGAGGAACUUGAAUGGCGGAGCAAUAGCAAGUCACAAAGCAUGGAAGCCCCUUUCAAUGGAUACACUAUAUGACUUUCUCUAGUCCUUGGAAUUUAUUCUAACUAGUACCUAAUAAACUUUAUUUUCAUAAGAUACGGACAUGAGCCACAAUGUUAUAGUCAAAUAAUCAUAUUUAAAUGCUGUUAAAUAACAAGCAAGACAACCAAGUAGGUGCUAUUCCUUCCAUUUUGCACUAUUUAGACGUUCUCAGCAGCUUAGAAGCUCACAAGCUCCAACAGCUUAUAAGCUUAACAAGUAAUGAAGCUUCUGUCAAAAUCAGUUAUUAAGAAAUUUAUGCCUCUUACCAAAGUUAAAAUUAGAGAUUGAAGAUGGAAUAAAAUGUCUUGAAAUUUCUAAAGUGCUUGUAGGAUGAUUUAAAUUAAAAUUGUUCCCUUGUAAAUUUUAGAAAGUGUGAAAAAUUGCAAGACAAUUUCUUUUUAUGAUUAUUGUUGUUAGAGAAAAUACUUCAAAUGAAUUGCAAGUAAAAUUGUUAUUGAACAUAGCCUCUGGACUGAGUUCAUUCUUUCAAUCAUUUUCUCUCUCAUUCACUCUUUCUCUUUUCCUUUGAAAUAUUUUGAAGGCCACAAUUUUAGACAUCCUUGAAAUUCUGUUUCGGAUUCCAGGAAAAAAACAUUUUUGCCUACAGGUAAUAUCUCGGGUUUUCUUUUUCUUCUGCUGCUUCUUUUCCUUUUCUUUCUCCUUCCUUCUAAAAUGUUGAUUGGUCACCUUAAAGUAGACCUCCUAUUUAAGUGACUAGUAAAUUCCUUAAUUCAUGCCUCACCAGUCUUACCAAUUCUAGUUAAAUUUUUUGCUUGUUUGUAUUUUCCAUCUGGGACAUUUCCUAUUGUAAUCUGCAUCUUGAAAUACUAAAAGCUAUAUUUCAAAUCUUUCCCUUUUUCCUGUGGAUUUUAAUAAUGCUCUUGACUAAAUCCACUUCUCAAAUAAUGGCUUCAUAGCAUGCAAAGUCUCUGUGUGUAUGCCUGUGUGUUUUGAAGAACGAGCUGAGAAAAAUGGUUAAGUAUUUAUGAGUGUGUGCUCUUGUUAUGCUUUCCUGGAGACACAAGCAAAAAGAUGGCCUUAUGGUCAUAAUGUGAUAUGGUGAAGAGCAAUGCAUUGAAGCAUCUUAUUUAUAAGGACAUUUUACAGAGCAGGUGUUUAAAACAAGCCAAAAACAUGAAUUCAUUCCUUCGCUCACUUGUUAUUCCAUUUCAUUGUUUUUCUUUCAUUUCAUCGCAUUCCUAAAGAUAAGAAGUUUUCUUAGCUGGAAAUA